ACCAGGCUUUUUGGGUGAGAGACAUGAGGAGAACGAGAAAAGUGGUGCGACACAUGAAAGAGGAGUAGGGAAAAACACUUGCGCACAUGGAAGAAGUAGCCUACUAAGGGGCUAUACAGAGAAACCACCUUCAGUGAGUAACGUCAAGUAGACGCUGGAGUAUCACACAUUUAGAAUGCGCGUGGGUAUUUGCGAUUUGUAUUAGUGGCGUUCUUUGAAGUUUAGCUCUCCCAACGGGGAUAAUAACCUAGCCUACUGCUAGCUCGCGGUCUGUCUGCUAGCACAGUAGUAAUAGCAUUCAGCAGUUUGUCCACAGUUAAUUAACCUAGUGGUAACAUUUUCGUCAUGUAGUCAAGUUGGUCAAUAGUCAAGUUAGUUUAGCUUCUGCUCAGUUAGCGCCACAGGUUUUCCGGAAACGCUUCUGGUUCCACUGAGUGGCCGUUGAGCGAGCACCGCCACCCGGAUAGCAGCACUGGUGACCAGGGGAAAGCUUCAUGCUUCAGUUCAGUGCUGACUCAGUGCAUGGAACUGACUCGAGUGGAGUUCUUGAAACUGGACACUGAACUCGACAUGUGUGGCCUUGGGACAUAGGACGUCCUCCCAGUUGGUGUUCAGGGGACUUUGACAUCUCUGUUCUAACCGGACAACCUGUCGCGAUUGGCACCUAUUACAACGACCUUCCCGCCAUAGAUAUAAUUUGGGGAUCCAGUCACGUAUCACCCUCCUUUUCACUAUUGUAGAGAUUCUGCCCAGCACGGGUUUCGUAGAUGAGCCACGCCAUGGCUUCCCCUCCCUACCCAGCUCCCGCGCCUGGGAAGACGGCCCGCCCCGGCUCCCGCUCCUGCGAAGACGGCCACUCCAUCUUCAGCUCCUGCGAACACGGCCGCCCCGACUCCUGCGAAGACGGCCACCCCAGCUCCUGCGAAGAUGGCCACCACAGCCCCCCCUCCCGCUAAGACGACUGCUCCAUCUCCUGCGAAGACGGCCACUCCACCUUCAGCUCCUGCGAAGACGGCCGCCCCGACUCCUGUGAAGACGGCCACCCCAGCUCUAGCUCCUGCGAAGAUGGCCACCACAGCCCCCCCUCCCGCUAAGACGACUGCUCCAGCUCCUGCGAAGACGGCCACUCCACCUUCAGCUCCUGCGAAGAC